rnacentral:rRNA from 1 species
CAAUAGCGUAUAUUUAAGUUGUUGCAGUUAAAAAGCUCGUAGUUGGAUUUCGGAUGGGACUUGCCGGUCCGUCGUUUCGAUGUGCACUGGCCAGUCCUAUCUUGUUGUCGGGGACUAGCUCCUGGGCUUCACUGUCCGGGACUAGGAGCUGACGAGGUUACUUUGAGUAAAUUAGAGUGUUCAAAGCAAGCCUACGCUCUGAAUACAUUAGCAUGGAAUAACACGGUAGGACUCUGGCUUAUCUUGUUGGUCUGUGAGACCAGAGUAAUGAUUAAGAGGGACAGUCGGGGGCAUUCGUAUUUCAUUGUCAGAGGUGAAAUUCUUGGAUUUAUGAAAGACGAACUUCUGCGAAAGCAUUUGUCAAGGAUGUUUUCAUUAA